CCAUAACCGUAACCGUUUAAUUUAAAUGGGCGGGUAACCGCGGUUACCCAUAACCAAUGGGUAUUUGCCCAUCCCUACUCCCAAUGAAGAGCUGUUUGUGACAUAGCUGGAGCCACCAUCAUUAUUGUGAACACAGUGUUCUCUCUUCUAGCCGUUGAUUAUCCGACUCACAAGCUAGCUUGGUAUGUAUCAGAUGAUGGGUGUUCACCUCUCACUUUCUAUUCUCUCAUUGAAGCCUCGGCGUUUGCUAAGUGUUGGGUGCCCUUUUGCAAAGAGUACCUUGUUCAAGUUAGAGCACAUUUCAGAUACUUCUCUGACAAUCCCAUUUUGUCAAGUUAUAGUCCAUGAGGACUCCUUAAAGAAUGGACAAAAAAUGAAGGGCGUGCUAACUCGUCGGCCAAGCUCGGCCAGGGAGUAAAAUGUGUUGAUGUCGCGUUGGGCGCAUUGCUGACUUCUUGAUCUUGCGACUGCGGCCGAGGAAGGAACACGUCUCGGCCUUUGGGUUCUAGAGCCUAAAGACAAGGUUACUGGUCUUGCGAAGUUCACAGAUCGUCGGCACCGGGUGCAGUCACGGUGAUUAUAUUCGUAAGAGUAUAAGCACGCCGAACUGGCACCAAAUUAUACGGAUAUAAGUACUCAAAUGAGAUGUAUGUCUUGAUGGUAAAUGUGGUUCGGCCGUCAGAAUGCCGAAUUCUAAAA